AACGAACGCUGGCGGCGCGUCUUAAACAUGCAAGUCGAACGGCAGGAAGGGGCUUGCCCCUUCUGAGAGUGGCGGACUGGUGAGUAACACGUGGGUGACAUACCUUUUAGUUGGGGAUAGCUAUUAGAAAUAGUAGGUAAUACCGAAUGUGACCGUACCUGUUAGAGGGGUACGAGGAAAGGAGCUAAGGCUUCGCUAAAAGAAUGGCUCGCGGCCCAUUAUGCUCGUUGGUGAGGUAACGGCCCACCAAGGCGAUGAUGGGUAUCCGGCCUGAGAGGGUGAACGGACACAUUGGGACUGAGAUACGGCCCAGACUUCUACGGGAGGCAGCAGUUAAGAAUAUUCCGCAAUGGGCGAAAGUCUGACGGAGCGACGCCGCGUGGAUGAAGAAUGCCGAAAGGUUGUAAAAUCCUUUUAAGCCUGAUGAAUAAGCACAGUAGGGAAUGAUUGUGCGGUGACCGUAGGGCUUGAAUAAGCACCGGCUAAUUACGUG
rnacentral:rRNA from 1 species